rnacentral:tRNA from 1 species
GGAGGUGUAGCUCAAUGGUACAGUGCUUGUCUAGUAUGCAUGAGGCCCUGGGUUCAACCUCCACCACCA